AGAGUUUGAUCCUGGCUCAGAACGAACGCUGGCGGCAGGCCUAACACAUGCAAGUCGAGCGCGCCUUCGGGUGAGCGGCGGACGGGUUAGUAACGCGUGGGAACGUGCCCUUUUCUACGGAAUAGCCUCUGGAAACGGAGAGUAAUACCGUAUACGCCCUUUGGGGGAAAGAUUUAUCGGAGAAGGAUCGGCCCGCGUUAGAUUAGGUAGUUGGUGGGGUAACGGCCUACCAAGCCUACGAUCUAUAGCUGGUUUUAGAGGAUGAUCAGCAACACUGGGACUGAGACACGGCCCAGACUCCUACGGGAGGCAGCAGUGGGGAAUCUUAGACAAUGGGGGCAACCCUGAUCUAGCCAUGCCGCGUGAGUGAUGAAGGCCUUAGGGUCGUAAAGCUCUUUCGCCUGUGAUGAUAAUGACAGUAGCAGGUAAAGAAACCCCGGCUAACUCCGUGCCAGCAGCCGCGGUAAUACGGAGGGGGUUAGCGUUGUUCGGAAUUACUGGGCGUAAAGCGCGCGUAGGCGGAUUAGAAAGUUGGGGGUGAAAUCCCGGGGCUCAACCUCGGAACUGCCUCCAAAACUGCUAGUCUAGAGUUCGAGAGAGGUGAGUGGAAUUCCGAGUGUAGAGGUGAAAUUCGUAGAUAUUCGGAGGAACACCAGUGGCGAAGGCGGCUCACUGGCUCGAUACUGACGCUGAGGUGCGAAAGUGUGGGGAGCAAACAGGAUUAGAUACCCUGGUAGUCCACACCGUAAACGAUGAAUGCCAGUCGUCGGGUAGUAUACUAUUCGGUGACACACCUAACGGAUUAAGCAUUCCGCCUGGGGAGUACGGUCGCAAGAUUAAAACUCAAAGGAAUUGACGA
rnacentral:rRNA from 1 species